AACCUGCCGCGUUUAUGAUACACGUGAUAACUUCCUUGUUGAUGUGCAAUCGAUACAACAGAAGAUUAAACUGAACGCACUUCGUCGAAGGAUGUUUGUAUCGUCAAACGCGCAUUUGAAAUGCUUUGGAAACACUUCUCUUGCCGACUGGAAACACAUGACUUCGAAGACAUUAAUACAAAAGUUUCUUUCAAAUAGUAAUAUCCAGUAGGCUAAGUGGCGCUAAAAAGAAAAGGCGUUCAGCAGUUUUCUCCAAAUGAACGUGAAUGUGUUAAUGUUUUGUCACGCUGGUUGGUCAGUUUGGAAACGAUAUAUCAGGUGAGUGGCAUCGAAAGAUUAAUGGUUUGUCGCGUUUGAAAAUAACGUACACCUCAUCGGGGUUGCCAGGUGUUCUCGACAAAACCCGCCCAAUUUCUACUAAAAACUAGCCCAGUUGCCUUUAGAGGGGGAGUCCCCCGUUAAAAAUCGCGUUCCAGGAGUAAAAUACACGUUUUUUUUUUGGCGGGGAUCCCCUGGUAAAAUUCGCAUUCCAUGACUAAAUAUCACGUUAUUGAGGUCGCUUCAACCAGUGGACAUGAAAAACCAUCCGCGGCAACAGUGUUAAAGCAGCCCUAUUCCGCGGGAAAACCACGGACUUGGCAACACUGCACCUCAUGUACUAAACCUUGGCAAUAGUAGUAACAAAAGUGAGAUAAACGCAUUUGCUAGGCAACCAUACAGCUUUAGCUUACUUUUACAAAUCUGAGCUCUUUAAUCGAGCGUCAUGACUCAAGUGCAAUGCUGUACCAGGACAUGACAUCACUUGCCGGGGUCACGGCCCGCCACCGACUCCACGAUGAAAAAAAAAAGGAAAGGGGUUAGAGAUGAAGACGAAAAAAGAAAGACUUGGGAAGUGCUGCUCUGUAGGUCACCUUGCCUGGCUGAGAGAUCAAUGUCGCUUUGACUCGCUGGUUAAAGAAGAGAGAGAGAGAGAGAGAGAGAGAGAGAGAGAGAGACUGCAGCCCAGACACCUUGCCAGUAAAUCACCUUGCCAGCUUCAUUGAGAUGCAGAAAAGCCAUAAAUUACAUGCGCCGCAGCCACUCAAAGACAGUCGAGGCCCAGCUGGGGAAAAUCACCAAUGAUUCAUCAAUUUAAAGGAGCAGAAACGAGGUCUUUUCUCCACUAUUAAUCAUGCAAGGAAUCACUGUGCUUUCCACGGCGUGGACCAUGCAGCGUAUGAACUCCUCCGAACACCAUGCAUUUAAGACUGUGUGUGCGUCAUCCGCUUGAUAUUCAAAUCAUCAUUGUGCUGAUGAGCCACUAUGUUUUCACCCAACGCCCUAAAUACAGACGUCCCACACACACACACACUUCUUUUCACUUUCUUUCCAGCUGUGAGCCCACAUCCUGUGUGCUGUGACAGUGAGAGGGGAAGCUCGACUCACUCUUCUAAUUAUUUUGGGGCUGAUAAUAGUGAUGGCUCGAGAGAACGAAUGAUGGUCCUGAAGAGAUAAAGAAGGUUGGAGAAAACAAAAAGGAGAUGUGACAUUGAGAAACAGACUGUUCAGUUCAGUUUAUGGUGUACAGACAACUCAUGAAUUUAGUUUUGUGCUUCAGAAAACACAAACAGACCACGACUCAUUUGUUCUGGUGAGCUCUAAGUGAAAGUAUCUGCUAAUGACAUUUCUGAGUUAACUAAUAGGCCUGAGUUAUAACUGGUAGAAAAGAAAUAAAGGUUAUUAAUAGCUAAUAAACUGUAAGCUCACUGUCAGGUUAUUCCUAUCCAAAGAAAACAAUAAUUUAUGGUACUGACAGUUUC